GAUGAACGCUGGCGGCGUGCCUAAUACAUGCAAGUCGGGCGAACGGACGAGAAGCUUGCUUCUCUGAUGUUAGCGGCGGACGAGUGAGUAACACGUGGAUAACCUACCUAUAAGACUGGGAUAACUUCGGGAAACCGGAGCUAAUACCGGAUAAUAUUUUGAACCGCAUGGUUCAAAAGUGAAAGACGGUCUUGCUGUCACUUAUAGAUGGAUCCGCGCUGCAUUAGCUAGUUGGUAAGGUAACGGCUUACCAAGGCAACGAUGCAUAGCCGACCUGAGAGGGUGAUCGGCCACACUGGAACUGAGACACGGUCCAGACUCCUACGGGAGGCAGCAGUAGGGAAUCUUCCGCAAUGGGCGAAAGCCUGACGGAGCAACGCCGCGUGAGUGAUGAAGGUCUUCGGAUCGUAAAACUCUGUUAUUAGGGAAGAACAUAUGUGUAAGUAACUGUGCACAUCUUGACGGUACCUAAUCAGAAAGCCACGGCUAACUACGUG
rnacentral:rRNA from 1 species